UGGGGGUGGCUUGUAAUAAGUGUUGGAACCAAACUUGUCUCGUCUCCUGCGAACAUCAUCCUCGUUUCCCAGGAUUCCAUGCUGAGGGUCGAUCAAAAGAGUGGCUGCGACACCUUCUACUCCUCCAAAACCCCGAAGAGCAAUCAGGUCUUUCUCCUUCACCAUCUCUGUAAGCUUUGUAUUGAUGUCAGGUAACGCAUGGUUAGAGACUAAGUCAGGUGAGUGAGGUUUAGGGACUAAGUCGGGUAAAUCAGGGUUAGGGACAACGUCGCUUUGAUCAUCAUGAUGAUAGGAAGUGGGUGGCUGGAUAUCAACAGUUAAAUGAGAGUGCAGUAAAGC
rnacentral:lncRNA from 1 species